CAGGUUUUCAAACGCGACGUCGCACUCCCUAACAACCUGCUUGUCACAGUGGUGUCCCUGCGCAUGGAAGAGGCAGAACAGAAAAGAUAAAGGGAAUCGGGGAAUCCUGCUUUCCGAGUCUGUCGUGACCACCAGAGGAAAGUGGUAAACGCAGGGCAGCCAUGAUGCAGGUUCAAUCCCCACCCUCUCCAUCUCCAAUCCCUCCCUCAGUGGUAGAAGUGCCCCCGAGAGAGGCAAUCCACACGCUGCUCCUCCAGGGACUGUGACCAAUACCCUGUUAGAUAUGCAAGUCACUUAGGAUAAAAUAAUAUGUAAAAUAAAAGACAAGAGCACUUUAAUGAGUUUGUUUCUUUUUAUUCUCCCUCCUUGGCAUUUUCAUGCAGGGUUUUGUUUUUUCAAGAGAGGAGAAAACUGGAUUGCAUUAGCACAUGACUGAGUCACUGGCAUAUUUAAUUUGACAUUGCAUGGUGGACGAGGGGGGUGUUUGAAUACAUCACCAGAACAUCACUUUUGGCCAAACUAGAGACAAUAUUCCACAAGAGCAACCCACGAUUCUUCAAAACGAAUGACUUCAGCUGUGUGGCACUCGCCUUCUUAAAA